CAGCCAUCAUUUAAAGAAAGCGUAAUAGCUCACUGGUCGAGUCGGCCUGCGCGGAAGAUGUAACGGGGCUAAACCAUGCACCGAAGCUGCGGCAGCGACACUAUGUGUUGUUGGGUAGGGGAGCGUUCUGUAAGCCUGUGAAGGUGUACUGUGAGGUAUGCUGGAGGUAUCAGAAGUGCGAAUGCUGACAUAAGUAACGAUAAAGCGGGUGAAAAGCCCGCUCGCCGGAAGACCAAGGGUUCCUGUCCAACGUUAAUCGGGGCAGGGUGAGUCGACCCCUAAGGCGAGGCCGAAAGGCGUAGUCGAUGGGAAACAGGUUAAUAUUCCUGUACUUGGUGUUACUGCGAAGGGGGGACGGAGAAGGCUAUGUUGGCCGGGCGACGGUUGUCCCGGUUUAAGCGUGUAGGCUGGUUUUCCAGGCAAAUCCGGAAAAUCAAGGCUGAGGCGUGAUGACGAGGCACUACGGUGCUGAAGCAACAAAUGCCCUGCUUCCAGGAAAAGCCUCUAAGCAUCAGGUAACAUCAAAUCGUACCCCAAACCGACACAGGUGGUCAGGUAGAGAAUACCAAGGCGCUUGAGAGAACUCGGGUGAAGGAACUAGGCAAAAUGGUGCCGUAACUUCGGGAGAAGGCACGCUGAUAUGUAGGUGAAGUCCCUCGCGGAUGGAGCUGAAAUCAGUCGAAGAUACCAGCUGGCUGCAACUGUUUAUUAAAAACACAGCACUGUGCAAACACGAAAGUGGACGUAUACGGUGUGACGCCU
rnacentral:rRNA from 1 species